rnacentral:tRNA from 1 species
ACUUUCAAAGGAUGUCAGUGUAAUCCACUAAUCUUAGGAAUUAGCUCCCCU